rnacentral:rRNA from 1 species
CCUACGGGAGGCAGCAGUGAGGAAUAUUGGUCAAUGGGCUUACGCCUGAACCAGCCAAGUCGCGUGAGGGAAGACUGCCCUAUGGGUUGUAAACCUCUUUUGUCAGGGAGUAAUUGGCGCUACGUGUAGCGCUAUCGAGAGUACCUGAAGAAAAAGCAUCGGCUAACGCCGGGCAUGCGGCCGCGUAAAUACGGAGGAUGCGAGCGUUAUCCGGUUUUAUUGGGUUUAAAGGAUUCGUGGGCGGAUUGCCAAGUUAGCGUGAAAGUGCCGGGGCUAAACCGGGCUGUGCCGUUGGAACUGGCGGUCGUGAGUGCGCGGAAAGCAUGCGGAAUGCGUGGUGUAGCGGUGAAAUGCUUAGAGAUGACGAAGAACUCCGAUUGCGAAGGCAGCAUGCCGAAGCGGAACUGACGCUGAUGCGCGAAAGCGUGGGUAUCGAACAGGAUUAGAUACCCGUGUAGUC